ensembl:snoRNA
AUCCUUUUGUGGUUCAUAAGCAUGAUGAUCAGGUUUUCAGGCACAUGUGUGCAAUGUGCCUCCUUCAAACUUUGUUAGGAUGCUAGCACGCUACCCAUCUGACU